rnacentral:rRNA from 1 species
AUGCCAGACUCCUACGGGAGGCAGCAGUGGGGAAUAUUGCACAAUGGGCGAAAGCCUGAUGCAGCAACGCCGCGUGAAGGAAGACGGUUUUCGGAUUGUAAACUUCUGUUCUUAGUGAAGAAUAAUGACGGUAACUAAGGAGCAAGCCACGGCUAACUACGUGCCAGCAGCCGCGGUAAUACGUAGGUGGCAAGCGUUGUCCGGAAUUACUGGGUGUAAAGGGAGCGUAGGCGGGAGGCCAAGUCAGCUGUGAAACCCCGGGGCGCAACCCCGGGCAUGCAUUGGAAACUGGCGGGCUGGAGUGCCGGAGAGGUAAGCGGAAUUCCUGGUGUAGCGGUGAAAUGCGUAGAUAUUAGGAGGAACACCAGUGGCGAAGGCGGCUUACUGGGCGGCAACUGACGCUGAGGCUCGAAAGCGUGGGGAGCAAACAGGAUUAGAUACCCCUGUACC